rnacentral:rRNA from 1 species
UACGGAGGGUGCUAGCGUUGUUCGGAAUCACUGGGCGUAAAGGGCGUGUAGGCGGUCUGUUAAGUCUGCUGUGAAAUCCCCUCGCUUAACGAGGGAACUGCGUCGGAUACUGGCAGACUCGAGUACCGGAGAGGAAGGUGGAAUUCCCGGCGUAGCGGUGAAAUGCGUAGAUAUCGGGAGGAACACCGGUGGCGAAGGCGGCCUGCUGGACGGAUACUGACGCUGAGACGCGAAAGCGUGGGGAGCAAACAGG